GUGAGCUGGCAGUGGCGUCAGCUGAGUCCCCUGAACCCCGUUGGGCCUGGAGCUGCUGACCUCAGCUCACAUGCCCUACCUUUUCUGUGUGUCCUCACCCACUCAGUGGAGCUCACCCACCCGCUGCUCCUCCCCCUGCCGCGACACUGCAGCCUCCGCCUGUCCUCAGAGCAUUCGGGAGGCAGCCACCGGGAUGGCCUGGUUGUCGGCUGGGAUGGCAGGGACCAGGUGCUGGUCUCUUCGUCCCUGUGGCUGGGGAAGAGUGAGCUGGCCGCCCGCCUGGCCCUGGCUCACCCAUUCAACCUCUCUUGGCGGCAAGCCGAGGCCAGUGGCCUUGCUGAGAGCAGGGGUGGCAGGCAGAGCCGGCAGGUGCAGCUCACCUGGAACAGAGGACAACCUGCGGCCCUGCAGCUCACCUGGGCUGGCGGGUCCUCAGCACACAGCACCGCCUGGGACGGCUGCCUGGCCGCCUCCCCGGGGCAGCUCCAGGAAACCUGGGGCCUGAACACCCUCCAGGCCUGCGGGAACUUCACGCAGACCCCAGCUGUGUUCGUUGAACAGCUCGACCUGUCCUGGGGCCAACACCGCAUGCGGCAGAACGUGACAUACGAGAGGCAUUGGCCACCUCAGCCAGACAAAAUCAUCGUGGAGGCCACGCUGGAGCACGUCCUCGGGGCCUCUUGUACCCGUCAGAGCUUCUGGGGAGAAGUACAGACUGACUAUGCACGCUGGCUGCGGCACUCCUUCCACGUGGGGCUCUGUGACCUGCCCAGGGCCCUCUUGGUCGUCGGGGAACACACCCUGGGCCAGGGUGGACUCCUGCUGCGUUCCCGCUGCCACCUGGGCCUCGCACCAGACCCAGACCACGGCCUGCAUCUCAGCUUGACCCUCCAAAACCACAGCAGGCCUCAUUCAGCUGACUUCUCCGGGGCACUGGAGGUCGGUGGCCAGGAUGGGGCUGACAGUCCCUGGGAAAGAUGCCCUGGCUUCCCUCCAGUUCCUCCCUGGCCAGCAGGCCCCCAACUGCUUGGGCGGCCCUGCCAUCU
rnacentral:sRNA from 1 species